rnacentral:rRNA from 1 species
UACAGAGACUGCGAGCGUUAUUCGGAUUCACUGGGCGUAAAGGGUGCGCAGGCGGCCGUGUGUGUGAGGCGUGAAAGCCCGGGGCUUAACCCCGGAAUUGCACCUCAAACUACACGGCUAGAGCAUUGGAGAGGGUAGCGGAAUUCACGGUGUAGCAGUGAAAUGCGUAGAUAUCGUGAGGAACACCAGAGGCGAAGGCGGCUACCUGGACAAUUGCUGACGCUCAGGCACGAAAGCGUGGGGAGCAAAAGGG